GCAAACGGUGGGUCUGCCUAUUGA
rnacentral:siRNA from 1 species